rnacentral:rRNA from 14 species
GGCGAUGGAUCUUGUCUCCACUUUCCAUGAGAGGCAGCAGCAGAUGGCCGACAGGCAGCGUGACCUGCAGCUCAUGAUG